GUUCAAACUCUUCUUCCUUUUUUUUUUUUAAAUUUCCUUUUUCACUUAUUUUCCAAAUUUACCCUUUCUAUCUUUUCUCUUUCUCUCCCUCUUUCCCUCUCCUUCUCAGUCCACCCUCUCCAUCUCUACCGCAGGUGUUUUCUCUUUCCCUCUCACUUUUUUUCUGCUCUCGAUGAAACUCUCACCCGCAGGUGUCCUCCCUUUUUCUGCUCUAAUCCGCAGGAGUUCUCCCCUUUUCUUCUCAAAUCCGCAGGUGUUCUCGAUGAAACUCCUGUUACCAUAAAGAGAUCUCAUCCGCUUCUACCGUCUCCUUUUUUCCCCCUAAAACCGUGCAGCGGCAGCUCAAGGAUGUUGCCAUCUGCGGCCGCCAAAUUCGUGCGCGAGCGAGGGAUUAGAUCGGACCAAAAGGAGGAAAAAAGAUAACGUGAAUGUUGAGAAGAGGGGCGCCGCUGUGUGUGGCGGCGAUGGGACACUGACGGUGGGUGGAGGGUUUGUUGUUUUGGAGAUGGUGAUUGCUUUGUUGUUGCAGAGUUUUGGCGGUGCCUACAGUGGAGGAAAAAGAAAGCUGAGUGUUGGUAAUUGGUGGAGGCUUUGGUGGCUUGUUUCAUACGGAGAUGAUAAAAGAUAAAAAAGUGACAAUGACGCUGCUGCAGCGUGAGAGGCGGCAAUGUUUGAGAUAUACGAGGGAGGGGUCUAUCAUUUUUCAAAAUUAAAAUUAAAACUAAGUGCCUGUGGUAAAAAAGUAGUUCAUGGCUUCACGCGUUCGUGCACUUUCGUACCAAAAGUUUUCAUAAAAUAUAGUACUGCUCUUUUAGAAAUUUUAAAAGAUGAAAUGUAGUGAAGUUUAUUUUCAAUGGUGGUGAAUUAAUUUGAGGUUUUCAUGACUAUUUUUCCUCUCCCGUGUUAAAUACUUUAUCAUUGAUUGUAAGGAGGGAUCACAAUAGUUGGAGUAUUCGUACAUGUCCAAUUGACUCUAAUGUUGUUUUUUCAAACAGAGUUUGAUA